UACGGGGGGGGUAAGCGUUGUUCGGAAUUACUGGGCGUAAAGGGCUCGUAGGCGGCCAACUAAGUCAGACGUGAAAUCCCUCAGCUUAACUGGGGAACUGCGUCUGAUACUGGAUGGCUUGGAUUUGGGAGAGGGAUGCGGAAUUCCAGGUGUAGCGGUGAAAUGCGUAGAUAUCUGGAGGAACACCGGUGGCGAAGGCGGCAUCCUGGACCGGUAUUGACGCUGAGGCGCGAAAGCCAGGGGAGCAAACGGG
rnacentral:rRNA from 1 species